rnacentral:rRNA from 1 species
AACGAACGCUGGCGGCAUGCCUAACACGUGCAAGUCGAACGAUACCUUCGGGUCUAGUGGCGCACGGGUUCGUAACGCGUGGGAACCUUCCCUUAGGUUCGGAAUAACUCCCCUAAAGGGGUGCUAAUACCGGAUAAUGUCUUCGGACCAAAGAUUUAUCGCCUUUGGAUGGGCCCGCGUUGGCUUAGCUAGUUGGUAGGGUAAAAGCCUACCAAGGCGACGAUCCAUAGCUGGUCUGAGAGGAUGAUCAGCCACACUGGGACUGAGACACGGCACAGACUCCUACGGGAGGCAGCAGUGGGGAAUAUUGGGAAAUGGGCGAAAGCCUGAUCCAGCAAUGCCGCGUGAGUGAUGAAGGCCUUAGGGUUGUAAAGCUCUUUUACCCGGGAUGAUAAUGACAGUACCGGGAGAAUAAGCUCCGGCUAACUCCGUG